rnacentral:rRNA from 1 species
UAAUGCUCCAUAGUGGAUAUGUCCUGGAAUGGUAUAUCCUCGAAAGAUCCGUCGCCUUAGGAUGGGACUGCGUCCGAUUAGGUUGUUGGCGGGGUAACGGCCCACCAAGCCAUUGAUCGGUACGGGUUGUGGGAGCAAGAUCCCGGAGAUGGAUUCUGAGACAUGAAUCCAGGCCCUACGGGGCGCAGCAGGCGCGCAAACUUUACAAUGCGAGCAAUCGUGAUAAGGAAACCCUGAGUGCCUGUCGAUGCAGGCUGUUCAUAUAUCUAAAUCAUAUGUGAAGAAAGGGCAGGGCAAGACCGGUGCCAGCCGCCGCGGUAAUACCGGCUGCUCGAGUGAUGGCCACUAUUACUGGGUUUAAAGCGUCCGUAGCUUGACUGUUAGGUCUCUUGGGAAAUCUUCACGCUCAACGUGAAGGCGUCUAAGAGAUACCGGCAGUCUUGGAACUGGGAGAGGUAAACCGUACUUCGGGGGUAGGAGUGAAAUCUUGUAAUCCUCGAGGGACGACCUAUGGCGAAGGCAGUUUACCAGAACAGCUUCGACAGUGAGGGACGAAAGCUGGGGGAGCAAACGGGAUUAGAUACCCCGGUAGUCCCAGCCGUAAACAAUGUGCGUUAGGUGU